rnacentral:rRNA from 1 species
GCUCAGGAUGAACGCUGGCGGCGUGCUUAACACAUGCAAGUCGAACGAUGAAGCCCAGCUUGCUGGGUGGAUUAGUGGCGAACGGGUGAGUAACACGUGAGUAACCUGCCCUUAACUCUGGGAUAAGCCUGGGAAACUGGGUCUAAUACCGGAUAGGAGCGUCCACCGCAUGGUGGGUGUUGGAAAGAUUUAUCGGUUUUGGAUGGACUCGCGGCCUAUCAGCUUGUUGGUGAGGUAAUGGCUCACCAAGGCGACGACGGGUAGCCGGCCUGAGAGGGUGACCGGCCACACUGGGACUGAGACACGGCCCAGACUCCUACGGGAGGCAGCAGUGGGGAAUAUUGCACAAUGGGCGCAAGCCUGAUGCAGCGACGCCGCGUGAGGGAUGACGGCCUUCGGGUUGUAAACCUCUUUCAGUAGGGAAGAAGCGAAAGUGACGGUACCUGCAGAAGAAGCACCGGCUAACUACGUGCCAGCAGCCGCGGUAAUACGUAGGGUGCGAGCGUUAUCCGGAAUUAUUGGGCGUAAAGAGCUCGUAGGCGGUUUGUCGCGUCUGUCGUGAAAGUCCGGGGCUUAACCCCGGAUCUGCGGUGGGUACGGGCAGACUAGAGUGCAGUAGGGGAGACUGGAAUUCCUGGUGUAGCGGUGGAAUGCGCAGAUAUCAGGAGGAACACCGAUGGCGAAGGCAGGUCUCUGGGCUGUAACUGACGCUGAGGAGCGAAAGCAUGGGGAGCGAACAGGAUUAGAUACCCUGGUAGUCCAUGCCGUAAACGUUGGGCACUAGGUGUGGGGACCAUUCCACGGUUUCCGCGCCGCAGCUAACGCAUUAAGUG